rnacentral:misc_RNA from 1 species
CUGUAGUUAAAUUGUUACUUCAACUUUUAAACGAGAUUCCAGUUGCAUUUUCAGAAAAUUCUAACUAUGCUAUCUGUUUCAAACAGUUUGAAUCAUAUAAGAUUUGAGGAUUUUUGCAGGCACGCUUGUGUUUUCUAGUUUAGAUUGUAAAGGGGAGUCCUGUUUAUGAAUUCUUGCAAGUGGUCAAUCGUCAAUGUUAGGACAUUCACAUUUUCAUCAUAAGAAUAUUUUGAGAUUCUUAAUAUACUGCUCAACACUGCUAGAAUCUGUUCUGAAAUAUUAAUAUCUCAUACCAUAGGAGUUGACAUGCUUGCAGAUUUUAUCAGUGUUGUUAAAAGCACUAGGCACCCUUAAGGCAAGAAGG